AUGAGAAUGCCACUCAUCCUCUAUACCCUCCCCAUGUCGUUGGCUCCACUUUGGUCCCCAAAACAGCCAUGGACCCUUCUGGAAAGCCAACUGCUUAAAAAUGGUGGGUCAUUUGGACCACUAAUGACUCUCCGUCCUCUUGGGCUUCCCAGCAGACUCCCAGGGCUGAAUGUCUUGGCACCUGGACCUCAGCUCUGCCACCCAGACUCCUCAGCCAAGCCCUGCUGCGUUCUGACCUCUCCUCCUGUUAACGGACCGUGUAUCAGAGUGUCUGUCAAGGCAGACAUCACUCAAGAGCACCGAGAACAUGGUCCUUCUCAGCAGAGUGCUCUCGACAGCCAGCCAGUACUAAUCUAUCCAGGUUUGCCAUGCUGGCGAAGCUGUUGCGUGGAAAACAAAUCCUCGAGGUGCAUCUGAGAGAAUCAAGGCCCAAGAAGGUGGACUUGCCCAAGACGUGGCAGGUAAGUGCAUCUGUGAACCUACAGCCAGCUUUGGGGAGGUGUUGGGGGUGCCUUCUCAUGUUUGGAACAUACUGAAGAAGCCCCAUUCAGGGCCUAGAUGGGCCUUUCGAAGGCAUCACCUUUCUCUCCUGCUCAUCUCCCAGGAGGCCCUUGACUUUGUCCUCUCUCAGAGGUGGCCGCGUUUGUGUUCCUUUGUCUGCCUGCCUCUGUUUUGGGGGGAACAUGGCAGACUCCAACCAGGAUUCUCCAGCCCCCAUGGAAGGAAGCAGACCCACGGCCGUGUUCUUCCCUGGGGCCUGGAACCGAGCACCCUCCUUGGAAAAGGAAUUUGGGGCCACGAGCCCCUAAGAGGUGCCGUCCUCUGGAAGCAAAACCUGGUUUCCCAUCUUGGACAGAGCUGUUCUGUCCAGAGAUGCCCCAGGUGCAAGAGGGUGGGUGGGGAGGCUGUGCUGCAUCAUGGACCUUAGGUGGGGGCGCUCAGAAGCUCUCUCUCUCCCUCUCCUGUUGGUUCCCCCAUGCAGGCUGGUGGCUGGGAAUGGAAAGGACCUGCCAGUGAGGCCUGAGCUGAGUUUAGGGCUAGGGGGCCAAAUGAGCAGUGAGGUUUGUUCCUGGGCUCCGGAGGGCAGCAGGCCCCGCUGAGACCCCAGCUGUGUGUCGUAUGGCGGAGGGGGAGGUGGCUGGGCUUCGGGCAGGGGCCUGCUUGCUGGGGGACCACCUCCCCAUGGAGAGCAGAGCAGCUGGAGGUCACUUGUGAGAGGCAGAGGUCCUCCCUGGUCUCCAUCCCUCUCUCAUCCCCUCCUCUAAUUUUAUUCUUGCCGUUUUGCUUAUGACACGGAUGCAGCGAAGGCAUCAUGUGACCGGGUUGGCCAGCCCCAAACAUGACCGCCCAAGCCCAGACCCGGAGACCCUUCCCCCGCCACGCAGGCCUGUCCCAAGGGCCCUGUGCCCCUGCUUGU
rnacentral:lncRNA from 1 species